rnacentral:misc_RNA from 1 species
ACUGCUGUACUACCUGACUAUACUGCAUGAUGAAAAUACAGUACAUCCAUGUGUGCACAGGUACAGGUAACUGCACGCAAGACGUACCGCGACUGCCGCUAGGUUACGAAAACUUUUUGGAGAAAGGCAUGAAAGCGGACGCCCAGGAAUCAUGGGAAUUUUGAGGCUAUCUCUCAGCCGAGCAGUUCGUCAGUUCACCACCUCAACUUUCUCUGGCUGUGAGGUGCGUGUCCGGUUUGCGCCAAGCCCCACUGGACAGCUUCACCUCGGAGGCCUUCGGACAGCCCUCUACAACUACAUCUUUGCCAAAGCACACCAGGGCAAAUUUAUUUUGAGGAUUGAAGAUACAGACCAGGCACGGCUUGUCACUGGUGCAGAGGAGCACUUGCAGAACAUGCUUGAGUGGUCUGGCAUCAAUCCAGAUGAAGGUCCCGUUCAGGGAGGAGAUGUUGGACCAUACAGGCAGUCGGAACGGCUUCAUAUCUACAAGAAGCACAUAGAGUCUCUGGUUGAGUCAGGUGCUGCAUACCACUGCUUCUGCACAGAGCAAAGGCUAGAACUGCUCCGGAAGGAAGCCGUGAGAAACAGACAGGUGCCCCGCUAUGAUAACAAAUGCCGACACAUACCACAGCAAGAGAUGCAAGACCUCUUGCAUUCGGGGAAACCAAGUGUGGUGCGAUUUAAGCUCGAGCCGGACGGGGAAUCGUUCGAGGAUCUGGUCUAUGGUAAAACAAGCCAUGAUACUUUCCUCAUAGAAGGAGAUCCUGUAUUGAUCAAAAGUGAUGGCUACCCCACCUACCAUUUCGCCAAUGUUGUUGACGAUCAUGUAAUGGGAAUCACACAUGUGCUGCGGGGUAUGGAGUGGCUGACAUCUACACCCAAACACCUCAGCCUCUACAAGGCCCUGCAUUGGACUCCUCCAAAAUUUGCACAUUUGCCGCUACUUCUUAACAAAGAUGGAAGUAAGUUAUCCAAGCGUCAAGGGGAUAUAUUUGUGCAGCAUUUCAAGGAUGCAGGUUUCUUGCCAGAAGCAUUGGUCAAUUUCAUCACUUUCUGUGGGUCAGGCUUCGAAGAGAACAAGGAGAUACGGGACAUGGAGCAGUUGAUACAGGAGUUUUCACUAGAUCGAGUCACCACCCAUUCCGCUGUUCUGGAGAUGAGGCUACUACCCGAUGUCAACAGGGGUCACAUCACUCGGUUGCUGGCAAGGGCAGAAGGCAGGCAGAGACUGGUAGCUCAGCUCAGGCAAGAUGUGGAAGAGUUGCUGACAAGAUCAGGAGAACUGGGCAAGAUUGAUGACCUCACGGAUGAGUAUCUACUAAGAGUUCUAGAAGCCCGUAAACAACAUGUUGGAAGGCUGCAAGAUUUGUGUCAAUCAGACCACAUCUACCUAUGGUUACGGCCAAGCCUCAGCAAGGAAGAAUUAACUUCAGUGUCUCCACAUGCAGAGCUUGUGUUAGAACAAGUAUGCAAGGAGAUUGGUAACCUCCAGGAGGUGGCACUCGGCGAGGCAGGAGAGCUCUCGCCCAAGCUGAGGAGAUGCAGUGAAAGCAUGGCUGGCAUCCCUUACCCUGUCUUCAUGAAGGUGCUGAGAGCUGCCUUGAGUAAUCUCAAGAAAGGAGCGAGUGUAGCAGAAAUGAUCGUAAUGCUUGGAAAGAGAGAGGCACUCUACCGUUUACAUGUAGCAAAAGAGAUCAGUGGACAGCCUGUCACAGACAACAGGUGAUGAGGCUUCCCAGGGUACUUGACUAAUGAUCACCGUGUAAAUGAAGCCGAAGAGAUGAUUGGACAGUCUGUCACAGACAACAGACUUGCAACUACAUAGCCGUGGAAUCCUUGGUUUAAAUGCCACAAAUGCUUCCCAACAGACAAGCUGCAGCAAUAAGUAGGAAGUUUGGGCACGCCAAAUGCUUAUGGGAAAGAGGCAACUGAGACUCAGCACAUGGCCAGAAGCCAGAUUCAAACCCCCAAGUAUCCAAUCAGGAGUCAGUUUACUUGUACUCAAAUGGGUCUGUUAAAUUGCACAUGAUGUUGAUUUCAA